rnacentral:rRNA from 1 species
UACGAAGGGGGCUAGCGUUGUUCGGAAUUACUGGGCGUAAAGGGCGCGUAGGCGGUGUGUCAAGUCAGGCGUGAAAGCCCCGGGCUCAACCUGGGAACAGCGCUUGAGACUGGCACGCUCGAGUUCGGGAGAGGGAUGCAGAAUUCCAGGUGUAGCGGUGAAAUGCGUAGAUAUCUGGAGGAAUACCGGUGGCGAAGGCGGCAUCCUGGACCGACAUUGACGCUGAUGAGCGAAAGCUAGGGGAGCAAACGGG